rnacentral:lncRNA from 1 species
GUAACUGUGGUCUGGUGGGGCGGGUUCACCAGGAAGGCAGUGUAAAUACCCUUUAGGCAGCUCUCCAUAUGCAGUCUACUUUCAUUACUUGGUUCAACUAAUAUGCAUUACCCUCUGGAGCAGGCAAUAGGAAUAUAGCAAAACAGGUAACAAUUCUUGCUUUCAUGGAGCCUAGUAUCUAGUGGAAGAAACGUGAUUAAACAAACUUAAGUAGAUGUGAUGUUGCCAUGUGGUAUCAAAUGCAGGAAAAGAGUAGUAGUAGCGUGUGUCAGCAUAUUGGCAGGGAGUGGGCAACUUUUUUCGAUGGUGGGGUCAAGGAAGGCCCCUUCAAGGAAGUGACACUUAAAAUGAAAAACCAGUAGGACUUAGGGAGAGUCAGGAAAAGAGCACAAAAACCAGCUUUCAUUGGGGAUUUAGAGGAGCUGAAAGAAAACCAGGGACCUGGAGCAGGGAAAUGUAGGGGAAAAACAGCAAGAGAUAGGAGAGAGGCCAUGUGCGGUCUUAUCACCAGCCCAAGGAUCUGGGAUAGUCUCCUCAGUGCAGGGGGAAGUCACUGAAGGUUUCAGAAAGGGAAGAACAAGAUGAGUGACGGAUGAGAGGGAGGCAGGAGGGAGAGAGCACCUACAGUGAUCUUGUGCUUCACAUGGAUGGUCCAGAUACCAGUUACAGAGACAACGACUAGAAGAGGAGCAGACUGGGGCAGGGGAAUGGCUGGAAAUCAGACAGCCUUGUGGGAAUGUUUAUUUGAGAUGCAAGUGUUAAGUCAGCAGAUGUAGGUGUUAAGUAAGCAUUUAUAUUGACAAUUCUAGAGCUUAAAAGGCGGGCCUGGACUUGGAAUGACUUUUACCAAAGACUUCCAAGGAGACUUUUUUUAUUAGAACUUUUCUCCCAGAUCC